GAUCCAGAUAAGAGGAAAUGAGAGCCGGGUUUUCUGACUUCCAACUCAUUAGGGACCAGGUUCUUUUUCUUCAGGAUCAGGCACAGAGACUGACUGAAUGGCUCCAAUUAUCAGGAUUUGAAAACCCAGUAUCAGAAUCUACCACUUUGUGCCUGAGGGAGAGGGAAAAGCGGAUACCCACCUGUGUCGCUGUUUGCGUGCCAAGUCCAGGAACAGUCCAUACAGCCCUGCUGCAUCCCACGACGCUGUCACAAAGCAGGAGUUCAUCCGAGGCCAAGAUGGAGAAACUGAGGCCCAGAAAUUGAUGUCCAGAAUGCUUUGCUCUUAGCCACUGUACUAUUAUGGCAUAUUUUAUCUUUAUGUAUUGCAUCAUUUCAUGGAUUCAAGUUUAUCAAUGUCCUUUGACAAGUUUAAAAAUCUGUCUGCUAAAAUCUAUCCAAUACAUUAAGGAAAAGUCCCACUUGGCACAUCUCCCACACCAGAUGUUAAUUAUUCAUACUGCAUGACUGAGGAUUUUGGAGGCAGAGAGAGAUUCAUCUGCAAUAUUUGGAACACCAAUGGAGGUCUACGUCAACACAGAAUUUAUACAGCAGCUGGUGCUAGUCAGAGCUAAUGACAGAAUUUCAGUUUAAUAAAAAGACCCCCAACUGAGCACACCAUCUUGAAAAAAGUAUACUUAUCAAACAGCUUUCAAUCAGUUCAAGAGAGACACCUUAAUUGGGGAGAGGAAGAAUUGCAGAGUAGUUUGUAAUCAUGCCAAUUCCAGAUCA
rnacentral:lncRNA from 1 species